UACGAAGGGGGCUAGCGUUGCUCGGAAUCACUGGGCGUAAAGCGCACGUAGGCGGACUCUUAAGUCGGUGGUGAAAUCCUGGAGCUCAACUCCAGAACUGCCUUCGAUACUGAGAGUCUCGAGUCCGGGAGGGGUGAGUGGAACUGCGAGUGUAGAGGUGAAAUUCGUAGAUAUUCGCAAGAACACCAGUGGCGAAGGCGGCUCACUGGCCCGGUACUGACGCUGAGGUGCGAAAGCGUGGGGAGCAAACAGG
rnacentral:rRNA from 1 species